CCUACGGGUGUCAGCAGUGAGGAAUAUUGGUCAAUGGCCGGAAGGCUGAACCAGCCAAGCCGCGUGAAGGACGAAGGUGCCAAGCAUUGUAAACUUCUUUUGUCAAGGGACAAAAUCAGGCUCGAGAGCCUGACCGAGGGUACUUGAAGAAAAAGCAUCGGCUAACUCCGUGCCAGCAGCCCCGGUAAUACGGGGGCUGCGAUGUUUAUCCGGAUUUAUUGGGUUUAAAGGGUGCGUAGGCGGACUGUUAGGUCCGCGGUAAAAGCCCGGGGCUCAACCCCGGCGAGCCGUUGAUACUGGCUGUCUUGAGAUGUCGAGAGGUAUGCGGAAUGCGCAGGGUAGCGGUGAAAUGCUUAGAUAUUGCGAAGAACUCCGAUUGCGAAGGCAGCAUACCGGCGGCGAUCUGACGCUGAGGCACGAAAGCGUGGGUAUCGAACAGGAUUAGAUACCCCUGUAGUC
rnacentral:rRNA from 1 species